AGCUUUGCGCAGUGGCAGUAUCAUAGCCAAUGAAGUUUAUCCGAGGCGCGAUUAUUGCUAAUUGAAAGGCAAAUAAAUAAAAUAGCC
ensembl:snRNA U4 U4 spliceosomal RNA